GAUGAACGCUGGCGGCGUGCCUAAUACAUGCAAGUCGAGCGAACAGAUGCGGAGCUUGCUCCUCUGACGUUAGCGGCGGAGGGGUGUGAAACACGUGGAAAACCUACUUAACUGACGGGGAUAUCUUGGGGAAUCGGGCGCAAAUCCGGGAUAAUAUAUUGAACCGCGGGGUGCAUUGGUAAAAUUCGGUUUUGCUGUCACUUCUCGAGGGUUCCCAGCUGCUUUAGCUAGUUGGUAAGGUAACGGCCUACCAAGGCAACGAUGCGUAGCCGACCUGCGGGGGUGAUCGGCCACACUGGAACUUAGACACGGUCCAUACUCCUACGGGAGGCAGCAGUAGGGAAUCGUACGCAGUGGUCGAAAGCCUGACGCAGCAACGCCACGUGAGUGAUAAAGGUCUUCGGAUCGUAAAGCCCUGUUAUGAGGGAAGAACAAAUGUGUAAGGAACUAUGCACGUCUUGACGGUACCUAAUCAGAAAGCCACGGCUAACUACGUG
rnacentral:rRNA from 1 species